CCUCCGCCUCCCAGGUUCAGCCGGUUCUCCUGCCUCCACCUCCUGAGUAGCUGGGAAUACAGGCAACAACUGGAAACAAUCCAAGUGCCCGUCAGCUAGAGAAUGGAUAGACCCACAUGGUCUGUGCAUGCAGUGGAGUGCUGCUCAGUUAUACAAAGAAAGGAAACUAUGGAUACAGGCCACAGGAGGGAUGAACUUCAAAACAUUAUAGUACGGCCAUUAGAGAAAUGAGAAGCAGACGCCAUCUCCAUUGUGAUGAGACUCACCCGAUCAGCCGUUUCUGAUGAACACGCAGGGGGAAGGCAGCAUCCAGUUAUGAAUCUGAUAUUUAUGAGGCUGUGGCUGCUCCAAAAUCAGAAUCCGCUACUGUAGAGCCUGGCAAGCUGGAUGUGGGAGCCACGGAGGGCCACGACCUGCAGCACAUCAGCAGGCAAAAGAUGCCCACAGGUAAAAAAGCCUUGGGUUCCAUUGACUCUGUGGCACAGCUCUGGCCACCUCACCCCCUUCCCAUCCCCUCAUCCCCAGAGACAUCCUCAGCUUCCAGCUCCAUCCUGCCCGUAGCCAGCUGUCCCAGGUCUGGGCAUGGGGGGCAAAGGUUGGCUCUGCCUCUUGUCUUAGACAUUGAGGCAUUUUUGAUCUAGUCUCUUCCUUUUCUCAAUGAAAAUUCAAAUAGCCCAGUUUUGGAGUCCCCAUCCCAUUCUCUAGCCUUGCUUAUCCAGCUGGUUUGGUACCUAAAUGAAGGAACCAGGUAAGGGCCAGAUUGUUUCUUUUCUCCCAUCCCUUUAGGUAGCUAAU